rnacentral:rRNA from 2 species
AACUAACAAGGAUUCCCCUAGUAACUGCGAGUGAAGAGGGAAAAGCUCAAAUUUAAAAUCUGGCAGUCUUUGGCUGUCCGAGUUGUAAUCUAGAGAAGUAUUAUCCGCGCUGGACCGUGUACAAGUCUCCUGGAAUGGAGCGUCAUAGAGGGUGAGAAUCCCGUCUUUGACACGGACUGCCAGGGCUUUGUGAUGUGCUCUCGAAGAGUCGAGUUGUUUGGGAAUGCAGCUCAAAAUGGGUGGUAAAUUCCAUCUAAAGCUAAAUAUUGGCGAGAGACCGAUAGCGAACAAGUACCGUGAGGGAAAGAUGAAAAGAACUUUGGAAAGAGAGUUAAACAGUACGUGAAAUUGCUGAAAGGGAAACGCUUGAAGUCAGUCGCGUUGGCCAGGGAUCAACCUUGCUUUUUUGCUUGGCUUACUUUCUGGUUGAUGGGUCAGCAUCAAUUUUGACUGGUGGAAAAAGUUCAAGGGAAUGUGGCAUCUUCGGAUGUGUUAUAGCCUUUGUUCACAUAUAUCAGUUGGGAUUGAGGAACUCAGCACGCCGCAAGGCCGGGUUUUUAACCACGUACGUGCUUAGGAUGCUGGCAUAAUGGCUUUAAUCGACCCGUCUUGAAACACGGACCAAGGAGUCUAACAUGCCUGCGAGUGUUUGGGUGAAAAACCCGAGCGCGUAAUGAAAGUGAAAGUUGAGAUCCCUGUCAUGGGGAGCAUUGACGCCCGGAUCUGACCUUUUGUGACGAUUCUGCGGUAGAGCAUGUAUGUUGGGACCCGAAAGAUGGUGAACUAUGCCUGAAUAGGGUGAAGCCAGAGGAAACUCUGGUGGAGGCUCGUAGCGAUUCUGACGUGCAAAUCGAUCGUCAAAUUUGGGUAUAGGGGCGAAAGACUAAUCGAACCAUC